rnacentral:lncRNA from 1 species
ACACCGGCCGUGCUAUGUGGCUGAACCCCUACUGAGCCCAUCGUGUUUCUGAGCUGCAGAACAACGUUACUUGUCCCAGGAUCCUUCCAAGGAAAGCUUGAGACCCAAAGUGCAGCUGGAGAGGGCUUUUCAUCAUUAUUGCACCAUUGCUGCUGCUGAGCCCCAGCUGGAUCCCGGUCCUGUUGAACUGGAUGGAGAAAGACCAACAAAGCUCUCCAAGGACAAUGACUAGCCCAGGACCAGUUCAGACUGAGAGUGUAAUCAAAUUGUGAUGUGGGGCUGUGCUGCCUUGCUCCAGCAGACCUGGGGAGCUGGAGGCUGCCAACACCUGUGUGUGGCCGAUAGGGCAGCAUCUCUUAGUCACACAACAAGCAGGAAUCUUGCUCAGAUGCAGCUUGAGGAUGUCUGGAGUAUGAUCUGCUCCAUGACCAGUCGGCUGUCUGUCCUGGAGAAAAUGCACAAUGCUCCAGCUUUUGUUCUGCUGCCCAGAUGAACAGAUCCUGGAUUGCAGCUGCAGUGCAGUCAGUGGCCAUCAGGAAAGGCUCUGAAGCUGUCUCUGUGCCAACGCACUGCUCGGACUGUGGGCUUACCUAAGUGACGAAGGAGCACGCACACUAUUUGGGGCACCUGAGGUCUGCUGCUCAGCACAUGAUCAGUUGAUAGCCAAGCUGAGGUAACCCUCCACAUCCAUAUUCCUAGACAAUUGUUACCACAAAAUAAAACACGCAGUUCUACUCUACA